UGCUGUUAGCGGCCAGCUUGUUAGCCUCUGACAACUCGCCAAUGCGCUGCUCCAAGUUCUUCAUCUUAGAAUCCAUGGCGUUAAUGGUCUGCAGGAGGGAAGCAUAAUGUGACGGCGGAAAUGACAUUCAAACACAGAAUCCUGAGAAUUCUGGAUCUUUUCAGCCAUCUGCUGGAUCUGUUGGGAUUUGGUCUGAAUGUCAUCUUUCAGCUUAUUCUCCCGCCGCUCAACCAUCUCCAGCCUCUUCACCUGGUUUUCCAGGGUCUUCCUGCCCUCCUGCUUACACGGCAAAAUGAGAGCAUAAAGCCAAGUGCAUAGAGCUGCAAGGCGCCGCUUGAGGGUGUCACUGGAGUCGGUUUUGCCUCGUAAGCGUUCCAGGUCUCGCUCCAGACGUUCUUUGGCCUGCCUGACAUUCUGCAGCAGUUCAGUGGCUUCUGUGCUUGCUUUCACUGCCUGGGGGAGGCCAGGGGGUCAGAGGCUCGUCAGUGUGUUACUGGACACAGCUCCAGCUGUCAUGAUCCGCAGUAUCCAGCACCAUCAGCCUGGUACGAGGCUGCAGGUCUCAAACAUGCAUUUUCAAAAAUACUAACAGAGGUGGCGAAGUCAAACACCAUCAGGGAGAAUUAUGAUCCCGUAUUGAGCAGCGCAACACAGCAGAAGAGGGUGGGAAUGUCGCUGUGUGUACGUGCGACAGUGCGCGGGGUUCCACCUCUCGGCGAACCUCAUUGACACACUCAGCUGCAUACCGAUCAGCACCGACGGCAACAUAACGCCAGGUCAUUCAUUCCAGCAUGUGUACUCUAAAACCAUACACAAAAGAACUGCGAGAAAAGGAAACAACGUGGGUUUGAUUCAUUCCGCCUCAUACAACACAUGGCCAAGCACCAACGACAAGCCAACUGCCCAAGAAAAGACUACAGGUCACCCGAAACAAGGCUAACUGGAAUUUGUUGCCAAGGUAAUCUGGAAACAGAGCGAUAGCCAAUGGUAGCAUGGGGUCUUUAAUUAACAAAAGGUGCAGGAAAAAAAGCCAAAUUGUACAUAGUUAACAGACUCAACUUACUCAGUUUUGGCCAAUGCUGUCAGCGCUCUGCUGAAGAACCAUCCUAGAAAGGGGAGAUCCUUGCCCUGGAAGCCCACUGGGGGAGCUCCUCGCUUGGAUGCUGAGGCUGGCCGGGGGACCGCCUGCUCCGGCUCCUCAAAAUUAGAGGUGUCAUCUUCGGCAUGCAACGCAGGAACAAACGGGGGGAGAGCUGCGGAGAAAGGAGUGAAAAAGCCAAGGAAAAAUGUUUGCCGUGGCAGAGAGGC